rnacentral:rRNA from 1 species
GAUGAACGCUGGCGGCGUGCCUAAUACAUGCAAGUCGAGCGAACAGACGAGGAGCUUGCUCCUCUGACGUUAGCGGCGGACGGGUGAGUAACACGUGGAUAACCUACCUAUCCGACUGGGAUAACUUCGGGAAACCGGAUCUAAUACCCUAUAACAUGUUGAACCUCAUGGUUCAACAGUGAAAUACGGUCUUGCUGUCACUUAUAGAUUGAUCAGCGCCGCAUUAGCUAGUUGGUAAGGUAACGGCUUACCAAGGCAACGAUGCGUAGCCGACCUGAGAGGGAGGUCGGCCACCAUGGAUCAGAGACAGGGUCCAGACUCCGAGGGGAGGCAGCAGUAGGGAAUCUUCCGCAAUGGGGGAAAGCGUGACGGAGCAACGCCGGGUAAGUGAAGAAGGUCUUCGGCUCGUAAAACUCUGUUAUUAGGGAAGAUCAAAAGUGUAAGUAACUAGGAACGUCUUGACGGUACCGAAACAGAAAGCCACGGCUAACUACGUG